CCCGCUGAACUUAAGCAUAUCAAUAAGCGGAGGAAAAGAAAGCAACAGCGAUUCCCUCAGUAACUGCGAGUGAAACGGGAAAAGCUCAAAACUGAAUCGGGUUUUCACUUGUGGAAAUCUGAAUUGUAGUUUAUCGAACCAGGAUAAGGGUGUUGAGGCCAGUUAAGUCUGCUGCGAUGCAGCACCAUAGAGGGUGAUAGUCCCGUUGCUGGCUGAAGUGCUCUAUACUUCUUGGUUCGCAGAGUCGCACUGUUUGAGAGUAUAGUGCAAAGUGGGAGGUGAAUUCCUCCUAAAGCUAAAUAUAUCCUCUAGACCGAUAGCAAACAAGUACCGUGAGGGAAAGUUGCAAAGAACUUUGAAAAGAGAGUUAAAAGACCUGAAACCUUCAAUGGGGAAGGGUUCGAGUCGACCACGUGCACACUUAUUCGACUGCCAGCUGCUAAUUAGAGCUAACUUCAUGAGAAACUUUUGUUUCCAGCUGUUGGUUCGAAGAGGUAGCAGGCAGUGCAUUUAAGUGUGGGUGUCAGUAUGGCCAGGCCAAGUGUGAGAGACUUUGGCAGUUGUGCACCUGUAACGAGGCAACUUGUUAUGGGCUGUUAACUGCCAAAGGGUAACAUUUGGCCUGGUUUGAGCCAGCUAGGCGAAGUUCUGUGCCAAGCAGCAGUUGGGUUGGCUGUUGGGCAGUUUGGGGUGUUACUGGCAACAGUGGCAUUUCAAACUGUCUGGCACUCCUGUUCAAUCUGCUUGCAGAACAUCAAAUGCUGUGACAUAGUGGUAUACAUGAACCUCCCGUCUUGAAACACGG
rnacentral:rRNA from 1 species